rnacentral:lncRNA from 1 species
UCAAAUAACAUAAGCAUGUAUAACAAAAAAAGAUUAGAAGCCAUAUACCAAUAUGAAGAUGAUGAUCUGGUAAUCAUGAGAUCUUUACAAGACUCCAAAGUAGAAGCCCUCCAAUAGUGAUCCACACGGGACUGAUCAGGGCCCUUCCCAAUUCGACGUAGUGCUACAGACUUCUUCGCAAGUUCAUUGCCGACCGUCUUUCGUA